rnacentral:rRNA from 1 species
AAUGAACGCUGGCGGCGCGCCUAAUACAUGCAAGUCGAGCGAGAAGACGGUAGCAAUACGUUUGUAAAGCGGCGAACGGGUGAGGAAUACAUGGGUAACCUACCCUAGAGUGGGGAAUAACUAGCCGAAAGGUUAGCUAAUACCGCGUACGCUCCUUGGACUUCGGUUCAGGGAGGAAAGCGAUGCCGAGGGUAUCGCGCUCUUGGAUGGGCUCAUGUCCUAUCAGCUUGUUGGNGAGGUAACGGCUCACCAAGGCUUCGACGGGUAGCUGGUCUGAGAGGACGAUCAGCCACACUGGCACUGCGACACGGGGCCAGACUCCUACGGGAGGCAGCAGUAAGAUAUUGCGCAAUGGGCGAAAGCCUGACGCAGCGACGCCGCGUGGGGG